rnacentral:rRNA from 1 species
AGAGUUUGAUCAUGGCUCAGGAUGAACGCUGGCGGCGUGCCUAACACAUGCAAGUCGAGCGAGACUCCGGCAGAAGAGACUUCGGUUAAAUCAGUCGGACGAUAGCGGCGGACGGGUGAGUAACGCGUAGGCAAUCUGCCCCGUACAGAGGGAUAGCCGUUGGAAACGACGAGUAAGACCUCAUGAUGCAGCACUUUCACAUGGGAGAGCUGCCAAAGAUUUAUCGGUAUGGGAUGAGCCUGCGUCUGAUUAGCUGGUUGGUGAGGUAACGGCCCACCAAGGCGACGAUCAGUAGCCGACCUGAGAGGGUGAUCGGCCACAUUGGAACUGAGACACGGUCCAAACUCCUACGGGAGGCAGCAGUGGGGAAUAUUGCACAAUGGAGGGAACUCUGAUGCAGCAACGCCGCGUGAAGGAUGAAGGUUUUCGGAUCGUAAACUUCUGUCCAUGGGGACGAAGAAAGUGACGGUACCCGUGGAGGAAGCCCCGGCUAACUACGUGCCAGCAGCCGCGGUAAUACGUAGGGGGCGAGCGUUAUCCGGAAUUAUUGGGCGUAAAGAGUGCGUAGGUGGCCCACUAAGCGCAGGGUUUAAGGCAAUGGCUUAACUGUUGUUCGCCUUGCGAACUGGAGGGCUUGAGUUCAGGAGAGGAAAGNNNNNUNCCUAGUGUAGCGGUGGAAUGGCGUAGAUAUUAGGNAGGGAACACCGGUGGCGAAGGCGACUUUUCUGGACUGAUACUGACACUGAGGCACGAAAGCGUGGGGAGCAAACAGGAUUAGAUACCCUGGUAGUCCACGCCGUAAAACGAUGAGCACUAGGUGUCGGGGCCGUAAAGGCUUCGGUGCCGCAGUUAACGCAAUAAGUGCUCCGCCUGGGGAGUAUGCACGCAAGUGUUAAACUCAAAGGAAUUGACGGGGACCCGCACAAGCAGCGGAGCAUGUGGUUUAAUUCGAAGCAACGCGAAGAACCUUACCAGGACUUGACAUCCCCCUGACAGGGCUUUAAAAGGCCCCUUCUUCGGACAGGGGAGACAGGUGGUGCAUGGUUGUCGUCAGCUCGUGUCGUGAGAUGUUGGGUUAAGUCCCGCAACGAGCGCAACCCUUGCCUUUAGUUGCCAUCAUCAAGUUGGGCACUCUAGAGGGACUGCCGGGGACAACUCGGAGGAAGGUGGGGAUGACGUCAAAUCAUCAUGCCCCUUAUGUUCUGGGCUACACACGUGCUACAAUGGCCGGUACAGCAGGAAGCGAAGCCGUGAGGCGGAGCGAACCCCAAAAGCCGGUCCCAGUUCGGACUGCAGGCUGCAACCCGCCUGCACGAAGUCGGAGUUGCUAGUAAUCGCGGAUCAGCACGCCGCGGUGAAUGCGUUCCCGGGUCUUGUACACACCGCCCGUCACACCAUGGAAGUUGGUGGUGCCCGAAGUCGGUCAAAAAAUCUACUGCCUAAGGCAAAACCAAUGACUGGGGCGAAGUAGUGACAAGGUAGCCGUA